rnacentral:rRNA from 1 species
GUGGGGAAUAUUGGACAAUGGGCGCAAGCCUGAUCCAGCCAUGCCGCGUGAGUGAUGAAGGCCUUAGGGUUGUAAAGCUCUUUCAGUGGGGACGAUAAUGACGGUACCCACAGAAGAAGCCCCGGCUAACUUCGUGCCAGCAGCCGCGGUAAUACGAAGGGGGCUAGCGUUGUUCGGAUUUACUGGGCGUAAAGCGCACGUAGGCGGAUCGUUAAGUCGGGGGUGAAAUCCUGGAGCUCAACUCCAGAACUGCCUUCGAUACUGGCGAUCUUGAGUGCGGAAGAGGUGAGUGGAACUCCUAGUGUAGAGGUGGAAUUCGUAGAUAUUAGGAAGAACACCAGUGGCGAAGGCGGCUCACUGGUCCGGUACUGACGCUGAGGUGCGAAAGCGUGGGGAGCAAACAGGAUUAGAAACCCCUGUAGUCC